UGGUAGGACCAAGGGGUGUCAAUUCCUUGGAUAAUGCAAGAGGGGCCCACCCCCUCUUGUGGCAUGGUGUGAAGGAGAGAGAGAGAGGGGCCACACCCCCUCUCUUGAAAGAAAACCAUAGAAUGGAGUGCCAAGGGUUGGCACCCAAACCACCUUCCCUGUAUAACAUGAGGCGCCCAAUCAGAUUUUCAUAUCUGAUUGGGGCACCCCAUAUUCUUGCCAAAGGAGGAUGAUAACAUACCAAUUAAGUC
rnacentral:lncRNA from 1 species